GAUGAACGCUAGCUACAGGCUUAACACAUGCAAGUCGAGGGGCAGCAUGGUCUUAGCUUGCUAAGGCCGAUGGCGACCGGCGCACGGGUGAGUAACACGUAUCCAACCUGCCGUCUACUCUUGGACAGCCUUCUGAAAGGAAGAUUAAUACAAGAUGGCAUCAUGAGUUCGCAUGUUCACAUGAUUAAAGGUAUUCCGGUAGACGAUGGGGAUGCGUUCCAUUAGAUAGUAGGCGGGGUAACGGCCCACCUAGUCUUCGAUGGAUAGGGGUUCUGAGAGGAAGGUCCCCCACAUUGGAACUGAGACACGGUCCAAACUCCUACGGGAGGCAGCAGUGAGGAAUAUUGGUCAAUGGGCGAGAGCCUGAACCAGCCAAGUAGCGUGAAGGAUGACUGCCCUAUGGGUUGUAAACUUCUUUUAUAAAGGAAUAAAGUCGGGUAUGUAUACCCGUUUGCAUGUACUUUAUGAAUAAGGAUCGGCUAACUCCGUG
rnacentral:rRNA from 1 species